rnacentral:rRNA from 1 species
UACGUAGGGGGCAAGCGUUGUCCGGAUUUAUUGGGCGUAAAGAGCGUGUAGGCGGUUAGGUAGGUCCGUUGUGAAAACUCGAGGCUCAACCUCGAGACGCCGAUGGAAACCAUCUGACUAGAGUCCGGUAGAGGAGAGUGGAAUUCCUGGUGUAGCGGUGAAAUGCGCAGAUAUCAGGAGGAACACCGAUGGCGAAGGCAGGUCUCUGGGCAUUAACUGACGCUGAGGAGCGAAAGCAUGGGGAGCGAACAGG